GUACAUUAGUGCUUGCGCACGACAAUAAAUUUCAUUACAUUCGAGUUUGUGUAAAAAUCCUCUGCCGGCCAAAGCUAGCAAGAGGCCAAAGGUUCACAUGGGUAUUGGAUGAAAGCCACCAACGUGCACAUGCUCAUAAGAGCCAGCACUGAAGGCAGCCAUUCGCAAUCAUUAAUGAUCCUUCCGCAGGUUCACCUACGGAAA
rnacentral:misc_RNA from 1 species